rnacentral:tRNA from 1 species
CGGGGCGUAGCGCAGCGGUAGCGCGCUUGGUUCGGGACCAAGAGGCCCCGGGUUCAAAUCCCGGCGGGCCCCGACCA